GGGGUCAUAGCUCAGUUGGUUAGAGCGAUCGCCUCACACGCGAUAGGUCGAAGGUUCGAAUCCUUUUGACCCCACCA
rnacentral:tRNA from 1 species